rnacentral:lncRNA from 1 species
CUCUCCGCUCCAUGGCAAAAUGUGUUGAAUUGCAGGAAACUUGCUUUAAAACUGCAACAUUUUCUCUACGCCCUAUGACAAAAUCUGUAACAUUGCAGAAAAUUAACUUUACUGCGAGGUGGGGGGCCCCUCAACCAAAUCGGGCACAUGGACACAUAGACACACACGAACACACGCACAUACACAACUUAAGCAUUUAUGCACUCAGAAACACCACACACACAAAUAGAAAUGGUGGACAAGGCGCUUUUUCUCAUUCUCCACCCACAGGUGGCGAUGUCACUCCUUUUAUGGUUUGUAUUGGAUGUAUGAGUUCAAGACUGUCAACAGGAAGCCAGUCUUAUACUUUACUUUAUAUCUAAGUUAUGGUAAUAAUUUAGCAGAUCAGGUUUAUUAUGACAAACUCUCUCUCUCUCACACAGUUUUGAUAAAACUUGGUUCUCUUGAGAAUGGACAUACUAUGGACAUAAUAUCUCAUCAUGAACAGUGAAAGUGAAAAAGGUUAACACCACAGGCAGUGCUGCUGUACAAAUAUGAGGCAAAAUAAUCAGUUGGUCAGCAGACAGAAACAGUUGAGUCUAAACCUUUUUCAAUGCUAGUUAAGGAUCUAUAGGCCUAGUUAUCACGUUUCACGUUGGAUUUCUUAACUACAAAAAGGUCAGGUGGAAAUGUCCGACAGAUCUCCACUCCAUAAAAGGAGGAAAUCACCAUCGCCUGAUCGCGCUGCUUUCUCUUCCUUCACUCUGUCAAAUCCAGAAGUUCUGUGCGUCCAUGAAUCCACCGACUCUGUUCCCUAUCAUCUGAACAUUCAUCUGAACUAUCUGUUGCGAUCGGGAGAGUGGGCCAUCAGUUGUUGUUUGAAGUUAUUAUCGCAGAGCCCGGCUUGGAGCGCACGCUUCAAACAUUUUGUGUAAUGUGACUGGUCAAUGAUUCCGGCCCUACGGAUCAUAAUAGGUCAAUUAUGCAAUUGGUAUGGUUAAUAUGUAAUGAAAUUCCAUGUACACAUGAAGACACUUGAAAGGGUGAAAUAAGAAAGUAAUUGUUUGUUGAACUGAUCGGCUCUGAUAUCCAACUAAUGGCGAUUAUAGAUUGAAUAACCGAUCACUGUUUGUAUUCUUUCAUGAUUUAUGAUAAAUAGUUACGAGCCUAAAUUACUCACCGAUGAUUCCUAUUGACGUAAUGAACUGGAUUGUUGAAUUCCCUAAAUGAUGUUAAUAAUGAAUGAUUGUUAUGAUUAGAUCUUUGUGAUGAUGGAUUUGAUUGGAUACACGUUAUUCUAUUUCCUUUGUUAUGCAGCACAGACUACCCAGUAAAUAUACCACUUUAUGGUUAAAGGAAUUCCUGCCUCAGUCUCAUCCAUUCCUCUGUCACCUGACCCGUGACCACCUGUUCACCCUCACUGUCAGUCAUCCUACCUGUCCAGCUACCCACACAGAUUCCACUAAUCUUUCAAAUAGGCUAUGUGUUUGCAGAUCGACUGCGGUUAAUGAAUCUAAAGCAGCCAAGGGGAUAACUGCUGGGGUAAUUUCUGCUUGUUUUUGCUCUUCUUCAAAUGGCAUUUUAACAUGUUUUAAUUGUAUAGAAAUGCAG